AUCACCUAAGGAAUGUUGUCAUAUCUAAUAGGAGUUGUUGGGGAAAAUUUGUUUUCAAUUUGCCCCCACCAAGAUCAAUUAUUCAUGUGACUUUAAAGCCUUGUUUUAGUUAAAACAAUAACAAUCUAGAUGAAAUCCAGCUAUAAAUACGACUAUUAAUUUUUAGUUUUAAAAAAGCACUUAUUGAAAAAUCUGGUUCUGGCUCUCCAAUCCCCAGACAGCAAGUCCCAUUCUUUUCCUUUCUUUAAGUUUGCUUCUUCUGACAAGGUAUAGUAUUCAUUAAGUUAGACAUGGAAACAUAAGUAGAAAAAUGUAGCAAUAGGAUUAUCAAAUAACUUUAUGUUUUACAUUUUUCAAUUUCUAUAAACUAUAAAGUUAACUACGUUAAUGCACUCUGUUUUGAUUUGUUUCAGGAUAGAAUUUGUGUUUGGAAUAGCAAAAACUAAAGUUGAGACUAGUAACAUCAAAUAUGAGUGAUUUAAACGGUGAAAGAACAAAGCCAUGGGACAUAUACACAGCUUCAAAUCCAAGUCCAUCACAAGCAGGAGGGGUUGAUGAGGAAACAGCUCCAUGGAAAAGUUUGGGGACAUCUAUGAAUGCUAUUUCAUUUGGUUUUGUUGCCACUGCCAUUUUGGUUUCAAUGUUUCUUAUAAUGGCCAUUUUUGAACAUUUGUUUAAACCAACCCCACAAUCUAUGCUUGUAACUUCUCAAGAGUCACUACCAACAGGAAAACAUGGAAACACACAUACAGUAAGUCUUUUCAUAAUAUCUCACCUCACUUUUAUUCUUUUUAUUAUAGUUAUUCACUCCUUGGACACUAUUUAUAAUUGAAAGAGGAUAAAACUUCAUUUAAAUAUCCAAUAACAUGAUAGUUAACUAUGUUACUUUAGAUGUUGAACAUAAACAUGUAAUUUGACUUGAAGUAGAGAUUUUGUUUGAAGUUGGUGAUUACUUCCUUAUAAAGCCAUAAAGGGUGAGUAUUAUAUUUUGGAAAUUGUUUAUUGAACUCUAAAAUGAUUUUCUUUUGCUAUGUGCUUCAUGAUAAUGAGGAUCUUUGUGUUGUAACAGGUUACAUCAUCUUAUGCUUCUGAUUUCCCAGUGUUGAUGCCAGGACAACAGUAUCCUACCUACAUUGCACAACCUGCUCCUCUGCCAUGUCCAAGAGAAGGAACUUAUUGGCCUUCUCAUGAACAUAAUUUUGUAGUAUUUAAUUAGCUACAACUUUUUCUAUUCUAAAAUGAAAUUCUAUGUAUAGAGAUACUGAGUUAGAGAGCACAACUUAUGUCAAUUUUAUACAUAUAUUUGUACCCUAACGUAUGUAUUUACAUAUCAAGAUGAUGAGCAUGAUAUUUGUAAGUUAAUGAAUGCAUAGAUGAAGUUGCAUUAUAAUUAAAAAAAAA
rnacentral:lncRNA from 1 species